UGUGCAUGGGGAAGGGCUGGGGUGGGCAUCACCCUGCCCUUACAUCUCACCUCGGGGAGGGUCUGAGGCCUCGGGAAAGACCCGUGUGAGUGGAGGUGUGGUGCCCUGCCUGUCAGGUAGGGAGAGGAGCUGGAGGAGGAGAUGUCUGCAGUCAGAGCCAUCGCUUUGUGAUAUUGCAUUUCCCAGACAAAAGCACCUGUGGGGAGAGAGCUGCAUAGGCUCUGGGAGGUGGGAACAUUUUACAAAAGCAUCACAGACAUCUGCUGAGAGAAGGCUGCCUGCCGUCUCCCUGCCUGCUUGCUGGGAAGCGUUUCCAUCUCAGCCGUGCAACUUUAGGGCUGCUGAGAGGUGUUAGGGGUGGGCAGGAAUAAGUCCUUGAUGCAGGUGUCUCCCCAUGAGCAGUCCUCAAGAUUUCAGCCUUGAGCUGCCCUGUGCCCUGCUGGGGAGGCUCCUUGGGCCACCCAGCCUCACUGCUUUGAUGCAUUUUUGGAAGUUGUUCAUGUUUUGCUCAAAACCUUGGGGACAGCUCGGUGGUCAUGGAUGGGUUUUCUAACCCACGUUUUGUGGGGAGAGAGGUACCCUUGAAGAUGAGCUGAUGCUUGUGGUCAAACCACCCAGGGCAGGCAACAAGGAUAAAACAGACAUGAUUUUGAACCUAUCUCCCUGCUCUUUUGGCUGCUUGGUGUUGACAGCACUGAAACGGAGCAUGGAUUUCCCACCAGGACCUGCAAUUCUAGUGAUUUUCCCAAAUCCCUCAGUCUCCAGAAGCCAUUAAACAAAAUCGCUGCCUUCCCUGCGACCUCCCAUUGCAGUUCACGAUCUGAUGCUCUGCACUGCUGUAACACGCAGCCCCUGAGUCUGCAUCCCCUGGGACACCUCCCAGACCCGGGUGUCUGCUGAGCACCUCUCAAACCACUCAUGGGCUCGGCUGCAUCUGGUCCCGUGGUGCUUCAGCCUUGCAGGUUCCCUGGCAGGAGGUGACUGGCACAGGGAAAUUGUUCCUCUGGUAGUCUGUCUUUCCUUCUCUUUUCAUAUAAAGAAUGCAUGGGGAGGGUGUGGUGCAGGUAUUUCACCCCACAACGUGGGUCUGGAAGAGCUGGCAGAAACCGUGGAUGUAUCCAGCCCUUCACACGAUGAGGAUAAUUCGGUCCUGUUGGAAAACGUGACGCCUGCCCCAGAGGAUCUCGCACCGUGAUGGGCCCAGUACAGGAACAACCGGCACUUCAGCUCUGCUGGAACGAAGCAGCAUGGAAAUGGCAGGGGUGUAAAUCAGCCCCUUCCUCGCCUUGCUGCAGCCGUCCGCCCUCGGUUUUGCUGUGUGCUGUGCCCUGGGCUCACCCCUCGCUGGGGCUUGGUCCCAGCAGCCCACCAGGCUGCAGCCCUCGCUGUGCUGGCACCUGUUGUGGUGCUGGUGCUGUUGGAAAUGGCAGCGCAUCGCUGCUCACCGGGCACCCGUCAGGCAAAAGCACCAAGGAUAAAAAGGCAGAGACAUGGGAAAACGGGACCAGCAUGUAAGAGAGAUGAGUGUGCAGCUGUAUUGCCCGUGAAGCCCUGCACCUGCGGAGGGCUGGAGCUGCCCUGUUCGCUGCUGCCAGUCUGGCCCCGCGCUGUGUGUUCGCCUUCUGGAUGUCCCUGCGUGGCCGUGCCAUGUGGGAAGGGCACAGGAGCAGGGUGGGACGGUGGCUGCCGUCCCCUCCCUGCAAGCGUUGAGCAUGAUAAGGCUCUGCCAUGACUGUAAGGAGAUUUCAUCUCUUUGUGGGGUGGUGGAGGUGGUGGCAGAAGGGCUCAAUGCGCAUCCAGGGCCUCUCUGAAAGCUGAGAGGAGAGCGGGGCAGAAGGGGAGACAUCCAAGCUCGACACAGGGACAGCAGAUGGAUUGGAAGGAGCGUAACCUCAUGGAAAUGCAUGCUCUGGUCCCUGCAGCUGGCAUUACGGGGCAAUUAUUCUCAGAGCAACAACUCGUUUCUCACUGGAAAGCAAUGUGUUCCCAUUAGACACAACGGGCGUCAGGGCCUGGCAUGGGGCUCAGAGCCCAGGAGAGGUCAGAGCCAGCGUGGCCACCAUCACGUGCAGCAGCUCCUGGUUCAAACCCAGCAGGCACCCCUGGAACAGGAGCACAGCACCUCGGGAAGGGGCUCAGCACUCCAGGAUGAGUUACCACCCCCCCCCCCCAGCUGGCCUGUGCCAUCCACGUCUGGGUGUAAGUGACAUCCCCACCAUGCCAGGUCCUUGACCUGGGAGGAAUUGCUCAGCCACGCUGGCCACCUGACUGCUGGGGCAACCUGCUGCGGAGAGAGGCUUCGGCACAGCCCCGUGCCAGGGUGAAGGGGCUGCUUUGAUCAGCCUCUCGGGGGGGGCACAUGAUCCCUGGGAGAGCCGCAUGAUCCCCAG